rnacentral:rRNA from 1 species
CCACCCUUUCCACCCGUCCGUCGCUGUCCGGGACUGAGCUGUUUCGAGAAGAGUGGAGACUGCUGUAUUGGGGCUUUCGGGCUCUGGUAUGAUGGAAACCAUUUUAAUCGCAAUGGCUUGAACCGGGCAAAAGUCGUAACAAGGUAUCUGUAGGUGAACCUGCAGAUGGAUCAUCGCCGAAACCUUAUGGGUAAUGCUUUGAUCACGAGAGAUCGGUACCAAUGGAAUCAGGCUUGUUCUUGAUUUCAAUCGGUUUCUCACCCCAUCUAAGCUCAUGGAGAGGUGUCUAGUCCCAAUUGGAGUCGCUUUGAGUGACGGCUAUGAAAAUUGGGUAUGUUCCCCGUGAGGGUCGAGCAUAGACUUUAUGAACAGUGCUGGAGCUGUCGCCUCACCAAAAAAUCAUCGAUAACUGGUGGCUAUGUGUGACAUUAGUCACAUAGGUAUCUGCUGAUGCAGAGAGCCUUAAUGAGUUGUUCGUGUCAUCUGACCUACAACCGCCAGUAUCGGUAAAUCAACCCAAUUAACUUGUUUCUUGUGUCGUGUUAAUACAUACUGGCAAAGUGUAUUAGCUUUAGCGAUGGAUCGGUUGAUUCGCGUAUCGAUGAAAAACGCAGCAAGCUGCGUUAUUUACCACGAAUUGCAGACGCUUAGAGUGGUGAAGUUUUGAACGCACAGCGCCGUUGGGUUUUCCCUUCGGCACGUCUGGCUCAGGGUUGUUUAAUAAGCGAAAGUGUUGAAAGUUCAUUAAACGAGAGUUCGGUGAUACUGACAACACUACGUCGAGCGGUGUACUGUUGAAAGUACCCCGUUCAAGUAUCUUUAUGGGGCAACAUGUCUUCUAUAUGGAGACAUGAAAGAUAUUAAGAGUAUAUACCUGUGGAUGCCCACGUAUGAAAUAUGACGUGUCGUAUACACGGCUAGGAGGUAUGUCUCAGAUGAAUUUGUUUAUGCAACCUGAGCUCAGUCGUGAUUACCCGCCGAACUUAAGCAUAUCAUCAGCGGAGAAACGACGCGUG